GUUUUAGUAGUUUAAAGAGAACGUGGUGUUGAAACCGCCAAGGUUAAUUUUUAUUGGUUACUAAAACA
rnacentral:tRNA from 2 species